rnacentral:sRNA from 1 species
UGGAUGCAUUGGUGCGGAAUGCCAUCC